GGUUAGUGCAGGUUGCCUCGCUGUGGGCUGCACCUUUUUCUCUCAGUGCGUUCGCAGCCUCACCCGUCUUCCUCCGCUCACCCACAUAUCCCCGUUCUCUCGUUGUUGCGACAGGAGACGCACCUGCGACUGACGCAGACCUCCGCCUUUCUCCUACCUCCGAAGCCCGAUUGGGGAUUUUCAGCAGCAGAUUGGGGCUUUUCCUCAGCCGAUCCUCUUCCCGUGCUGCAGGACGCCUGCUCGAGGUCUCCAGCAUGCGAUCCAUCUGCCGCCCCCGCGCCCGCCCCCGGGCGUGACCUCCCGCGCUCUUUUCUCUCCAUUAGAGUUACUUACCCAGCUCUUUUCUCUCCAUUAGAGUUACUAAAGGCGAGUUGUUAUCUUCUUCUUUUUCCAGUGUUUUAUGCCCUCCAGCCGUUUGUGUUAAUGCCUAUGACGAGAACAAAGAACCACGACAAGUGGAAAGUAACGGAGGGAGAAAAGAGAUUAUUUUGGCUGUAAUGAGCAGCCGGCGUGGCAGAGACGAACUACCAGAAGUGGCGCAUGCAUGGGAGCUGCCGGUGUGUUGGAGUCAAGGUUUGCCUACGGCAUCGAGUAGCGCUGGCACGGCAUCAAGCAACGCACGUACUGGCGCCGAGCGGUAGCAGGCAGGGUGCCCUGCGGCCCGACUAGCAUCUCGGCAUUGGUUCUGGACUGGCGUCCAGCCUCCAUGCCUCCAUCGACGGACUCGACUUGGCGCCUGCACGGCACACCGUCCAGGUUUUCCCGACUCCAUAGCCCCAUCGACCUGCUGGCUAUGGUGCCGAUUGCCCAAGUAUAUUAGGCGCCGUGGUGGUGCCUCACAAGCGCAGCGUUGAGCUGUCGAAUACCACAUCGCUGUGCUGCUAGGAGCAUGUCGUUCUUGGCAUUGUUUUACACUGGAACAUGGCAUUGUUUGAACUCAUCAAUUUUUGUAGGUCUUCUCGGUUCUUUCAUGUGCUCAUUCUACUCUCAAUCUGGCUCACCUCCCCGCUUACCUUUUUUCAUCUUGUUGCUGUCAUGUUGGUUCCAUACAUGGACAGUGAGGAGCUAAAAGAGGUGAAGAUCUCUAGAAGAGAUGCAGGCUUCGCACUGCUGUCCGAAUCAAGUUGGAAGAUUGCAGUGAAUCAAGGCGAAUGUUGUGUGUUUACUUUGUUAUAAAAUUGAUUCGCACUGCUAUCCGAAUCAAGUUGGAAGUUUGCAGUCAAUCAAGGUGAAUGUUGUGUUUUUACUUUGUUAAAAUAGAUUGAGCUGAACUGAAAAUAGUGUGUGUAUUGUACCGAAUAGCUGAAUAGGUGCAGUGGUAAUGGCACCGAAUAGUUUGAUUUUUUAGCCCAUUUCUAUGUACUUGAGAAUAUUAACCGAGGUGCGAGAUGUUUUUUAAA